GGGAAUUUAGAGAGAGAGAAAAAAAAACAACAUAGCGGACCGGACCGGCCCACAUUGGGUCAACGGCCCACCGGGACGAUGCCCGGUAUGCCAGAUGGCCAGUCCACCCCUGACUACCGUCAUCCACCAGCCGGCGACGGAGAGCGCCCGUUGAACCCCAAUCAGCGAGAUGGGAGACACCUGGCUGGACAGCCAGGAAGACAUUUUAAAAGGAGCACGAGGACUGACAUUUGGGAGGAACGGGAGCGAGGAAGAAGGAAGCGCUCGGGUCUGCGAGCGACUAGAGGCCCACGGAGGCCCUAGAGACCGUCUAUCUUGGAUAUUUAACUGCAGUUCUGUGAGUACCCCAACUUAACCAUGAAGAUGAACUGCAAACUCAACAAACGGAUCUCCUCAAGGUAAGUCUGUUGGCUGUGUUUUAAUGAAGACCAUCGCUGGACUUCAGGAUCUUCCUCCGUUCAGCUCAAGGUGAGGCGCUGGUUAUGUUUUUUCUUUGGUUGGUUCCGGCCGGAAUGUUCGUAUUCCAGUCGGACGGUUUGUGCUUCCCGCCGUGGAAGGUUCUGAGUGCGGUCACUUGAUUUAGUCCCAAUGGUUAGCAUAGAACGUUGUAGUCUUGACAACCAUAAGAAACCACCUGGCAGUUAGUUUGACGGGAGUCCCCUGAGGGAAUCUGGCGGAACGUUCUUGAUUGUAUUUGAGUAACCUCGAAGCGUUGCCAACGGAAACAAUUUUUUCAGUCGGUUUCCAUUGGGAAUUGUUGCCCCCUAUCUUAAACAACUAAAGUUUGAUAUUAAAUACAUACUGAGACGUACGUCGUACAAUACGUUGAUAAUUUCCGAUGGUUGCGCCGUACUUUUAACCACGAUGACGUUGCGGGACUCUCACUGCGUUCAAAACCGCGUUCUACUUGCGGGCCCAUUUUUAACAUCAGUGAAGGCUGAAAAUCAUUUCAAGGUGGAAGAUAAUUUGACAUUUCUUCAACGGAACCCAGCACCUGAAUAUGGCUGAGUAUAUUUGAUUUAAUAUCGAUACUGCUUAGUGUUCUUUUAUUACUUCAGCUUUUGUACGUUCUAAAUAUCUGCUGUCAUUAAUUGCCACAGAAGUUAAACCCUACCCAAUGGAAUGACGUUAACCCACGACUUUGGUGCAGAGUUACCAACUGGAUAAUAUCAAAGCUAAAAUAAUGGCCGUCAUUCCCACAUGUUACAGUAGAAGAUACUCUAGAACUGUACAAGGUUAAAAAGGUAACGUGUAGUUUGUCCCAAGGUGUCUGCCUCCUCACCCAGAGCCAGACCUCCACCUCCUCACCCAGAGCCAGACCUCCACCUCCUCACCCAGAGCCAGACCUCCACCUCCUCACCCAGAGCCAGACCUCCACCUCCUCACCCAGAGCCAGACCUCCACCUCCGGUCAGAAGUCCUCCAGAACAGCUGAAAGGCGAGGCUGAGAGGCUGGGGACCAGAGGCUUGUGGUGCCAGGAUGGACCGGAGACUGAGACUGGAGACCAGGGGCCUGCAGCACCGGACCAGAGGGUAUAUAUACCAGACGACUACAUCUGUUUUACCACAUGUUGAAGCAAGACUUCCGCUGUUUGUUCCAGACCAGGACUCUGUCUGAGGAGAGCUGCUGGAGGAGCUGAGACGCUGGAGGACGACUAGGAAUCGACCAACAAGGAUUCCUCAACGUGUUUCUGGAGCGGAGGCGAGCUGGUAGGGGAGCCGUGAAUCUGGAGGAUGACCAUCACUCUACCAACCAGGGUUGUAAGUUUGUAUUAACCAAACAAACUGGAAAUAAAGGGCUUAAAAAUAAGACAAACUACAUGUUUGUUACCAGACUUUAGGGCCAGACUCGCGCUGUUUGUUCCAGUUUGUACCUGAUAUUAGAGCAAACUACUCCUGUGUUUGUUACCUUGCAUUAGAGACAAACGACUACUGUGUUUGUUACCUUACAUUAGAGACAAACUACUACUGUGUUUGUUACCUGAUAUUAGAGCAAACUACUCCUGUGUUUGUUACCUUGCGUUAGAGCCCAACUACUCCUGUGUUUGUCACCUUACAUUGGAGAAAAACUACUCCUGUGUUUGUCACCUUACAUUAGAGACAAAUUACGUUUGUAACCAGACCAGGAAUCUUGAGGACUGAUGGAGAAGCCGUACAUCUGGAAGGCAAAUCCUGAGGACCACCAGGAAUCUACCAUCAAGGAUUCCUCAUAAAUGUGCAGUAUCUGGACAUAGUGGACCAGACACACCUGAACUGAACCUCACCUGAUCCUGUUUGGUCGGGGGUAGACACACCUGAGCUAAACCCGCCCUGAUCCUGACAUCCUGCUGGUCCCGUCUCCUCAGUUCAUCUGAGCCUCGUCCUCCAGAAGACCUGCUGAGCUCAGCAGUCUGAGGCUGAUGGAUCAAUGACCUCCAGUGGGAGUGUUCUUCUUGACCCCACAUGUAACCGUGUGCUUCCACACGCCUUUCCCUCACGUCUGUCACUAACCUCACUACUUCACUACUCUCUACUGCUUCCUCUUCUUUUUCCUUCUCUGUGGUUCGAACCUUUACACGGAAGGCGCGUCUUCCUGCCCUCAGAGGGUUUAGCGUUAGGGUUGAGAGUCAGGGUUUAGAGUCAGGGACAGAGCUGGUCAGGGAGGACUGCUUUUACACAAACCUCUUCACUUGCUUUCGGUAUGGUGGUGACAUUUUGGAAAGAUUAAUUUGGGAAAAUGUUUUCCUCUGCUUUCCUUUACAAAAUUGUAUCAAACUUAUGUCAAGUGUUUAUAUAUUAAAAUCCCACAUUGACUUCUACAUGUUUGUGACGGUUCAUUUAAUUGUCCUUUAACUUGGUUAAUGUCAAGCUAAACUCCCGCAAUACAUUUAAUAUACAUGAUUGUUAUUCUGCAAUGUUCACAUAAUCCAUUUUGUAAAAAUAUGAAACCUCCAUAUUAGCCUACUACUGG
ensembl:lncRNA